CUUCAAUGUGUAAUGUUUUUGUGCACUUUGAAACAGUGAAUCAAUUUGUGAAACAAUUGACCAGACCGAUCGUUUUACACAUCAAUGUAUCAUCACGAGCCGCAGGGUUUAAUUUGGUAUUGUUUGUGUAUGUUUUAUGACUCUCAAAGCCGGGAUUCCCAUCCACUUACAUUAUACGACUGACAGACUGCAACGGUUUGAGUUAAAAAUCUGUUUGUGCCUCUGUUUGUGUAAAUCUUGGAUGCCCUGGGGACAUUUUGGUGCUUCAAGAGUUACUACCCCAGUGCCAAGUCUGUGGUUCCUUGGGCUUCUACCUAGUCUCCUUUGCUACAGAAUCUGGAAUUUCUCCAUCCUCUGACAGCCUGCUUCCCCUGUUGUGUGCCCUAGCCUAUUGUGUGGACUAUCUGCCUGCCUCAUUCUUUUGUGUUCCCAGUUCUGUUAAUAAACUUUGCUCCCCUGUUCAUUCUGCAUCUGGAUCCUCCCUUGCCCAAACCUUGACAGAACAAACCAGCCACUGCAGAAGGGAGAUUAGCAUUCAAACAGGCACUGGCAUUGCUUCGUCAGCAGGGCCGGGAUUCAUGGAGCUUUGCUCAGUUCUUUUGGACCAUGGCUAAGGGCCUUGAAUAUGAUGAUGCAGUCCUGAAGGAGGCCUUCAACCUCAUUCUGGAUGACCCCCUGCCGCGAUGGGAGAUUGAGCAAUUGCAUGUUUUGAAUUUCUGGGACUUCUUCCAUUAUGUGCAUCAACGCAAAGACUGCCAGAUCCUUAACCCUCCUGAGGAUGUUUGCAGCGACCACCCUGCCCUUCAAGUCCAAGUGAAAUCCAUGAUCAUCUUCUGACUCCCACUGAGAAACAAAGGAACAGAAGAAAGAGGGUGGCUCGAGUUGCUGCAUCUGCCAGUGAGUCCUCAGUGCCAGCUAUAGGCCAUGAGAGUAGUUCAGUGCUGGCUCCAGCCUUUGAGUCAACGAAGUACUCUGAAGUGGUCGAGCUUAAGGUAUCUCAGAAGUCUCCCCGUCAAACUUUGCUCCUGUGUCUGUCCCAGUGAAGUUGGAGUCCAUCAUGUCCAGUCUUGAUAAUUUAGGUGUUUGUCAGACCAAGUCACCCAAGUAGUGGGAGAUCUGACAACAUCCUGCCCCGGGAGGCAUAGGGAUAGGAGGGCCCGUGCUAGGAGGGCCAGAACCCUUUGUUCAGAGACCCCUCAUGCACUUAUUCUGGAGGAUGUCAAGUUGCCUGCUGCUUCAGUCAUGGCCACGGAGGCCAGUUUUGAGCAGUUCUUUCCAGUCACUCCAGGGCCAGUCAGACCCGCUCUGGUCAUUCCAGAGCUAGCCAAGCCCGCUCCAGUCAUUCCUGAGCCAGGCAAGCCCGCUCCAGUCAUUCCAGUGCCAGUUCGGUCCACCCUAGUCAUUCCAGAGUCUGUCGAGUCUGCCCAAAUCAUCCCAGAGCCAGCAGAAUGUUUAGUUUUCCCUCCCUAGUCAUUUUUUACAAGUCUUUUGAUCGGUGUUCUCUUGUUGUCUUGUCUUUGUGUGUUUGGUUCCUGCCCUGCUUCCUGAGUCCUCCCUGGUCGCUGCUUCAUCUGGCCUGACAGACAUUCUGAUGCUUCAAGAGUUACUACCCCAGUGCCAAGCCUGUGGUUCCUUGGGCUCCUACCUAGUCUCCUUUGCCACAGAGUCUGGAGUUUCUCCAUCCUCGGCCAGCAUGUUUCCCCUGUCGUGUGCCUUGGCCUAUUGUGUGGACUAUCUGCCUGCCUGCCUCUUGUGUUCCCAGUUCUGUUAAUAAAUUUGUUCCCCUGUUCAUUCUGCAUCUGGAUCCUCCCUUGCCAAACCUUGACAGUAAGUGUAUAAUGCCAAGUGUUUUAAAAACUGUUCAGAUUUUAAGUCAUGUAAUGUAUUCCAGCAUUAAAGGGUUACUCCACCCAAAAAUAAAAAUUGUCAUUAUUCACUUACCCCCAUGUCAACCCCGCGCCACAAGGACAUUUUUUUUUUUUUUUUUUUCCCAAACAUGUAUUUAUGCUUUGGUUUGAAAGACAACAGCGCAGCGUGGCUGAAACAGAGCAUACGCCGCCUGUGUACUGCUCAGGUUUGUCAAACUGGUGCUAUGCUGAUUUGGAGAGACACAGAGGAGAGGUAUUGUUGAAUAAAGUCGUUUUGUGUUUUCAUAUACAAUAAGUAUUCUCGUCACUUCAUAACAUUA
ensembl:lncRNA